rnacentral:lncRNA from 1 species
AUGGAGCCUGCUGCCCCGUCAGGUCUCUGCCCAGCUUCCCAGGGGGAGCCACAGCUCUGGGCAUCGGGGCUGGUGCGUUGGAGAGGGGCUUUGCAAACCCAACGGCCUGGAUUUGGUGGGUGCAGUGGUGCUGGCCCACCUGCAGGUGACAUAAAGGACUGGCAGCUUCGUCUCCCCGUCCCCCUCCGGGCAGCUCCCAGCUUGAUUUUUGGGAGCAGCCGCCAGGCACGGUGCUUGGCCUGCACCCCGUGCACCAAGCACCAGUCGGUGCCGGCCGCGGGGAGCAGCGGGGGCAUCGCGGGGACCUGGGGGGCUGCGAGAGCUGCGGCCCCCUCCCCAUCCCACGGGCAUCAGGGUGAGCUCAGCCCGGCCGUGGCCGUGCCCCCUCGGCCCUGCCCGGCUCCCACACCAGGCUGGGGCUGGCAGACGGCGCAGGCCGCAUUUACACGGCGAUAUUUAAAGCCCGACCGGGUGGGAAGCGAAGGAAUCAAUUUCCCAAGUGGGAGGGCGGGGUGUUAUUUUUAUAUAUCAUUGGAUACGCAGCUUAAAUCUGGCCCUGGAAAGUGGAGAGGAAACGGGUGGGGAAGGGAAAUCACGUCCUGGCGCUGUCGCAGGCUCCGGGCGAGCUGGCAGAAUCACGCCUGGGGUGGCGGGAGGGGACGGGGACCCCUGCGGCAUCGCCAUUGGGUCCGUCCCUGCAGCCCAGGAAGCUGCAGCGAGCGCUGGGUGCAAAACGCAGACGGUGAAAGGGAAGAAAAAACCCAUCGAGGCUGUGUCGGUGCUGGGAGCUGCUCAGCACGGGGCUCCCAACCGGGGCUGGGGCCACCUUAUCCCAUGGCUGCUGCCCCCCCAGCUCUGCCCAGCGGGGCGCAGGCUGCAUUUUGGCCCCAGCCCCUCAGCACCCGGUGCCCUGGGGCCCUGAGGGUCCGUGCAGGUCGUCGAGCUGCCCGGGUGCUGCGGGAUGCUGGGGGUGCUGCAGGUGCUGUGGUGCUCAGCCCGCACCACAGGCAGCCAGGGGCCGAUCCUGCGCCGUGCCGGCUCCGGCCCUCCUGCCCCUGCCAAGGGAGCAAGCAGCCGGGGACGUGCCAUCUCCCCACUGCCGAGCCGUCUUCUGUACUUAAUUAA